GCGUCUUACAUGUCCAUUCAGCUCUUCCGUAACGGGCUGUGUGCUCAUUGGCAGUAGAUCAGAAAUACACGCUAUACGCCUAUACAUGUAUGAGCAGAAUAGUGCCAGUGUAAUUUCAACUCGAAAAGCACCAACAAAUAUCUAUAUUUUUUUGGGAUGCCACUGACCGUUAUUUUAGUGAUGGCCAUCACAGCCUUCACCUAUCGCGUUGAAUGACCUACAUUCAGGCCAAGAAAUAGGUGACGUGAGCGAGAGAGGCAGUGAAAGCGUGGCAGAAGAAAAGAAAUGCUCGUGGCCAUUAAUAAGAUUAGAUUAAAACGCUAUCACGGCCCAGGUGAACUUUCCCUGGUGAGGCGAGCACCCUCUUCGCUGGAAACAGGUUCGAUGAUUGAUCAGCCUCUUUCUCAACACUGCAAUGGCUCCUUUCGGCACCAGUGAGGGAUUUCGAGUAUAAGGCCACUGGACGUCGGUGAAAAUUGCUUGAAAAGUUUAUCUGAAACUUCCUCUCAUUUUGUCGCCAGACGUUACCAUGUUUGGAGAGAGGCUUCAUUUAUAGUUGUCCGCUUAACAUUUGUAUAGUUAUUGACCCUCUCGCCUCUGUUACCGUAAUAUCUGUAAUGUACCCCUGCUAUUGCCACUCAAAUAUUUGCCAUAGAAAAAAAAGUUUUUGUUUUUGGUUUUAGCAUUUGUUCUUAGAAAAAUUCAAGACAUUUGUAAUAUAAGGCAUUUUGUUUUAAAACUCUCCCAUUACUCCCAGAAUGGUCUCCUUGCACCAGUUUACUGUCAUCAAACGGAUGGCAGGAGCCAGGGUCCCUGCUCCUUCGUCCACAAUGUCAUGCCUCCCUUCUGCGUCCGUAUGAAAUUUCGUAAAUAGAAAGACACUCUUGGGCUUACGUCUUUUUUCAAUGUGGGUUUGUUUAUAUUUUUGAUAAUAAUGGUAAAAAUCACUCGGGAACUAUAAUUCACCAAAUUACACACAGACUGCUGUCAACUACCGUGUAAGCCGUGAAUGUGCAUUGAGGUUUUUAUUACCCUCGCAGCCAAAGAGAGCAGGAAAGUAGUUGCUAAGCGCCUGUGAAUCUUGAGUGUAGGAUACUGAGAAAUUUAAAGAGCAUGUAUUAAAUAAGAGGCAGUCUGAUGAAAAAUUAUAUGUAGUAUGAAGUACAUUAUUUGCGUGUACGUUAAACACACACACACGGAAAAGGACGACGUCAUCGUAUUUUGAUUCAUGGAUUUUAUAAGAUUUGCCAAUCAGUUUUGCCUUUCUUAGGAAAUUGAUACAAAAAAGUUUCCCGUGUUUCAUGUGCAGCGAUGUAGGCCAAUAGCAGAUUUUAUUUUUGCAAUUUAGAUUUUCAGCGAAGAGGUAUUUCUCAUUUUAGAAAGCUGGAACUUUUGUUCAUAAGAUCUUUAGCAAGGGAUGAGGUUACAAGGGUCAGAGCACGCUAAUUCAUGUCACAGCAUUAGCAACCCCUCGUCCAGGAGAUAUAUAUUAUAUGAUGAUAAUUUUAGUCUUACUCUCUACUUUUGGUGAAGGUCUGUCAUUGGUCUGAUGAGACUCAAACUCUAUUAAUUAAAUCUGGAUUGGCUGACACUUUUCAAGGCGCGAGCUCAUCUUUCAUAUAUUUUCGACUGUUAUUCCUUCAUAUUUAAGUUGUGACAGUUAUUAGUUCUUGACUGUGUUAUUUUCGCCAAGAUGUAGCGCAUCCUAAAUUUUGCGUUAUUACACCAAGUAUUAAAGCUGAAGCUAUUAUCUUGUUAUGGUCAAAGUUCCCAUAAAAUAUGGAAGAGAUUGCAUGAAUUGCUAAAAUGUCACAGAACAGACAUGAAUCGAAUGUUUUAGAAUGGAAUCUAAAAAUAUCAAGGGUAGCGAAUACAAUAGAAAAAUGAGUAUUAGAGUGUUUGCUCUAUUCAAGACUUGCUAUUACAGAAAGGACCGAGUAGCGUUCUUCUUCAAGGUCUUAAUAGUGGCCUCGGCGGCGUGGUUGGUAUGGUAUUAGCGUCCCACCUCGGUGGUAGCGGGUUCGAUUCCCGGCCAUUCCAUUGAGGAGUGAGAGAUGUGUAUUUCUGGUGAUAGAAGUUCACUCUCGACGUCGUUCGGAAGUCACGUAAAGCCGUUGGUCCCGUUGCUGAAUAACCACUUGUUCCAUGCAACGUACAAACAAACAAUCAAUAGUGGAAUUCAUCCCAAUCAUAUUACGUACUACAUGAAACAUACAUUUAUUAAGAAGUCAUGAUUUGAAUAGGAGCUUAAGCUUAUGUACUUUGUAUUAGAAAUAUUGAUGACUUGUGAGACAAAUAGUUAUGAGAAGAUUACUUUUUAAAAAUGAACCUCUGGAAAUAAACAAUGGAAGCCACUAGUUUCUAUUUUGUCUUUAUUCCAUUUGGCAUAUGAAAGGGUUCAUGGCUACCCCAAUAGUCGCUUCGAGUUCACUGAAUAAUUGCGUGUCACACUGAGACACUUUUCGCUCUCCAGUAAAAAAUAACUUAGGAUUUUCAUCUAGUACUCAAGGCUGGCGUGGGAACGGCCCUGAACAUAUUCCCGAGGAAGCAUGGCUGACACGUGAGGCUUUGUAACGCUGCUUUUGUUUUCCACCGUGGGGCUUGAUUAUGGUAAUUGUGCCGAAUGUGGUGUAAGGUCCUGUGGGUGUACGCACACCUUUCCUGUUGUCAGC